rnacentral:rRNA from 1 species
UAGUGAUCCGGUGGUUCCGCAUGGAAGGGCCAUCGCUCAACGGAUAAAAGCUACCCCGGGGAUAACAGGCUUAUCUCCCCCAAGAGUUCACAUCGACGGGGAGGUUUGGCACCUCGAUGUCGGCUCAUCGCAUCCUGGGGCUGUAGUCGGUCCCAAGGGUUGGGCUGUUCGCCCAUUAAAGCGGUACGCGAGCUGGGUUCAGAACGUCGUGAGACAGUUCGGUCCCUAUCCGUCGUGGGCGUAGGAAAUUUGAGAGGAGCUGUCCUUAGUACGAGAGGACCGGGAUGGACAUACCUCUGGUGUACCAGUUGUCGUGCCAACGGCAUAGCUGGGUAGCUAUGUGUGGACGGGAUAAGUGCUGAAAGCAUCUAAGCAUGAAGCCCCCCUCAAGAUGAGAUUUCCCAACUUCGGUUAUAAGAUCCCUCAAAGAUGAUGAGGUUAAUAGGUUCGAGGUGGAAGCAUGGUGACAUGUGGAGCUGACGAAUACUAAUCGAUCGAAGACUUAAUCAA